UGUUGCUCACCGCUGCACAGGGAUGUGUGUGUACCAGUGUUCCUUUGGCCCUCAGAGUGGCCUUUUUGACCUUCUCUGUCACAGAGGCAUGAAAUCUAAGAGAGCAUUUUCUGAAACCACAUGCUUGGCAACCUGAAAAAGGACCCAGGUUCUAAGUCCACUUCUGACCAUCUUCAGCAGCCUUAGGGACAUUCUUUGUCCUUGUUGGGCCUCCUCUUUGUAUCUACUAAAGGUGGCUGCGGCUACUAUAAGGAGCAAAUUAAAAAAUCUUACAAGAAAAUCUCCAGGAAGUAUAACAUUAAUAAUAUAAGGCAUGUCAUUUUGAAUAAAUCCGCAAUUUGAAAAUUUAUAGACAGUUUGUUCCAAAGGCACUUCAAGCACAUAACAAUGAUUCAUGUCUCUGGGAACUGCAAAUGCUGCAUGAACAGUUUGGUUAAUGGGCAAAAGUGUACUUCCAGUAUUUUUGGUUCCGGCGGGAGCCCACAUCCAGAGAUCAUUAGUCAUCGUGUUGUUUUCUAGGACAGAAUUCUACAGAGAAUGACCAUGUGUUAUGGACUAAAUGUUUGUGUUCCCCCCUCAAAUUCAUGUGUUGCAGCCCUACUCAACAUUGUGAUAGUAUUAGAAGGUGGGAGCCUUUGGGAGGUGAUUAAGUUUGGAUGAGGUCACCAGGAUGGGGCCCAUGAUGGGAUUAGUGCCCUUAUAAGAGGAGGAAGAGACACCAAAACUUGCUCUCUCUCCACCAUGUGAGGAUACAGUUAGAAGGCAGCUGUCUAGAACUCAGGAGGAGGGCCCUCACCAAGAAUCAAAUCUGCUAGCCCUUUGUUUUUGGACUUACCAGCCUCCAGAACUUUGAGAAAUAGAAGUUUGUUGUUUAAACCACUGUAUCUGUGGUAUUUUGUUAUUGAAGCCUGAACAGACUAAGAAAUCAUGGAAAAAUUUAAAACAUGAUGCUAUAAAGAUGGUUGAAAGAGCAGAUAUGUCUAGCUUGGAAAUAAGAUAUGAGAACAGGUUAUGAUAAUAUCUUUUAAAUUUUUUUAAAUUACACGAAAAUGUAAUUAUAUGCACGAUAGAUAUAGACAAGAGCAGUAAGAUAACUGUGUAAAAGACACUGGGCAAUGCAUUUUUGAAAUUUUAUCUAUGUGAGCUAAACAGGAAUGCCCGGCUCUGCAAGGUGGUGAGGAGGAAUACAGCACAAGCUGGGUGGCCCUCUCGCUGGAAUUCCUGCCUUGGAUCCCAGAGGCCCAGCCAGCUGACUUCUUCUUUCUUCCAGCCCAGGAUCCUAACCUGGACUCCAGGUGUAAUAUUGGUCUUAGGCUUAAGGAACAGUGUACUCCGUUCUCUUUCACCAAGUGGAACUCUGAUGGCUUCAUUCAGAGUAUUAAGACUAACAUAACCUUUGGACGUCAUGUCUGGAAACACUGAGAAUGUCAAAAUCAUCCUAAUGUAGAUGGCAACAAAUGUCAAGAUCACAGUGCUAAUAUAUGAAAUGGAGAAUCAAUAAGGAUUCGACCUGAGUUCAUGAAGCAAUGUUUUAUCCAUCUUGGAUGUCUCUAGGAGAUUACUGUUUCAACACAGGAACAUGGUAAUAUAUUUGGCCAGCCCCGCUAGCAAUACACUUAUUCAUUGAUUUUUCUCUCUCUCAUUUAUUUACUCAUUUUGCUCAUUUGGCCAUUCAUUCAUGGUACAACAUGUAUGAGGUGCUUACUAUGUGCCAGAGCACAUAUAAGACACAAAGAUGUCUUUCUAUUUGCAGAGGCCUGUGCUCCUGUGAGUGAGCAUUCUAUGAGCAAUGCUGAGGCUGAGAUUUCUGCCCAGGAGCAGCAUCUGACUUCCUGGGUAGGGUCCUGUUCAGAGGGGUUUGCAGGGUUGGGUGAGUAGAAAGGAUGGCUGGCAGCUGCGCUGAGGGGCAGUGACUUGAGAAACAUCAGAAGAGAGUGAGGUCUCUAAAGCAGAGGAUGCUGCAGAAGGGGGAGGUGGAGGCUGAGGCUGGGCCGGGAGUCAACUAAUGAGUAACUUUGCAUAUUACAGGAAGAGUUUUGAAUUUCUCUUCCAUAGGCAGCAGGAAUGCACUAAUGAACUUUAAGCAGGCAGCCAUCAGAUCUGCAUGCAAGAAAGCUCACUGUGAAGAUGUUAGCAGUCAACUGCAGUAACUUUAAGAAAAAGAUGAGCUGGCUUCCUCGGAAAGGCAGACCUGGAGGUUGGCCAAGAAUAAACCUGGAAUUAUUGCUCACUAUGAAGCUUAUGGCUGUGAUGUCCCGAUUGUCCAUACCUGUCAUCAACCUCCACAUGCUUUAGCAUCGUGGGAUGUCCCUGGGACUCGGGCCUUCAGGAGGCAUCAGGACUUUCUGUAGAGAUCAGUUGUCAUGUGCUCGUUCACCUGAAGACAGCCAAUGGCAUGACGGACUCUCCGGUUGUGUGUGUGCGCGCACGUGUGUGUGUGUGUGUGUGUGUGUGUGUGUGUGUGUGUGUGGUUUUCCCCAUGUUGGGUUGUGGCUGCUGAGAUACUGAGAUGAGGGGGAGCUUCUUGAAUAGACAAGGUGGCCCCAGGUUGCAUUUGGUGCAUCUCUCUCUCUCUUCCGAAGUUUGUGCGUUUGUUGUGAAUACCAUCCUUAUUUCUGAAAAUGUAAUGCCAGCUACACUGUGACCCUGGGAAAACUUAUUAUAUUGUGUGAAGGGAGGUGGGAAGGCAGCUUGGAGUUGAUUUAGAACCUUUACUCUUUACUUUUUUCACCACUAUGGCGCCUUCAGAGCUUGGGCCCAACCAAAGGCAGAUGUGGGCAGCAUGAUUGACUCUUGCUGAGCAGGUAUCAAGCACAUGCACCUCCCAGACCCCAGGUCCCAGGCUCCGUGGGACAGAGCUGCUCUGUCAUCCACGUGUGAUGUUGUACAGAGAUUAGGUGUUGACUCGACUGAGCUGAAAAGGAAUUUCUAAAAUUUUGAAAGUGGAGGUUCUUUUUGUUACUUAAGGUUUGGAAAGUUGCAUGAUUAUUUGAGAAAAAAAUUUUUAGAGCCUCACCUACCAGCAUAUAUGUAAAAUCACCUCUCUAUCACCAUGCCACUUUAUCAAUUGCUUUAUAUCCUAACCUAAUAUGGGAUAGGGCAAUUCCCCAUUUUUAUUCUUUUACAAAAAAAUGUCUACAUUUUAUUACCUCUGUGUUUGUGUAGGUUAAUUUUAGAACCUGUUCUUAUGUUUAAAAAAAUCCCAUUUGGAAUUACAUUAAACCCAUACAUAACAUU